rnacentral:rRNA from 1 species
UACGAAGGGAGCUAGCGUUGUUCGGAAUUACUGGGCGUAAAGGGCGCGUAGGCGGCCUGCUAAGUCGAACGUGAAAUCCCCGGGCUCAACCCGGGAACUGCGUCCGAUACUGGUUGGUUUGAAUCCGGGAGAGGGAUGCGGAAUUCCAGGUGUAGCGGUGAAAUGCGUAGAUAUCUGGAGGAACACCGGUGGCGAAGGCGACAUCCUGGACCGGUAUUGACGCUGAGGCGCGAAAGCCAGGGGAGCAAACGGG